rnacentral:rRNA from 1 species
GACGAACGCUGACGGUGUGCUUUAGACAUGCAAGUCAAACGAGAAAGCCCUUCGGGGUGAGUACAGUGGCGAACGGGUGAGUAACACGUGGGUAACCUGCCCCUCGCAGGGGGACAACCGGGGGAAACUCCGGCUAAUACCCCGUACGCUUGUCGGGCCGCAUGGUACCGACAAGGAAAGGUAGCUUAGGCCACCCGGCGAGGGAUGGGCCCGCGAUCCAUUAGCUAGUUGGUGGGGUAAUGGCCCACCAAGGCGACGAUGGAUAGCUGGUCUGAGAGGAUGAUCAGCCACACUGGGACUGAGACACGGCCCAGACUCCUACGGGAGGCAGCAGUCGGGAAUCUUGCGCAA